AAUCAUUUAUUACAGGAAAUUUAAUAAUUCCCAAAUUCCUAAAUUAUAUUCACAAAUCCUCCCAAACGAUUCCCAAAUGAAUGGAAAUAGUUUGAGUGAAAAGUAACAAUUUUAUCUGCUAACUAUACGGAGCUC